UACAGAGGUCUCAAGCGUUGUUCGGAUUCAUUGGGCGUAAAGGGUGCGUAGGUGGCGCCAUAAGUCGGGUGUGAAAUCUCGGGGCUUAACUCCGAAACUGCAUUCGAUACUGUGGUGCUUGAGGACUGGAGAGGAGACUGGAAUUCAUGGUGUAGCAGUGGAAAUGCGUAGAGAUCAUGAGGAAGACCAGUGGCGAAGGCGGGUCUCUGGACAGUUCCUGACACUGAGGCACGAAGGCCAGGGGAGCAAACGGG
rnacentral:rRNA from 1 species